rnacentral:rRNA from 1 species
CAGAAACACAGGUCUGCGGAGCCUGGCACCAAGAAAAACCCCGGUCCUUCUAUCAAUAAUCCCCAAUAGGUUUUGUCAUCUGGAAGGAGAGAUGGCUUAAAGGGGUGCGAGGGCUUCUUUCACACAUCUGCUCCAGGAUGGGACUGCGUCCGAUCAGGCUGUUGGCGGGGUAAUGGCCCACCAAACCAGUAACCGGUACGGGCCUUGAGAGAGGGGGCCCGGAGAUGGACACUGAGAGAAGGGUCCAGGUCCUACGGGGCGCAGCAGGCGCGAAACCUUCGCAAUGCGCGAAAGCGGGACGAAGGUAAUGCAAGGGGCUGCCGGUGAGGGGGUAGAAGUCGGCUGUAAAAAGGCAGGCGAAUAAGGCCUU